UAAUUAAAAGUAGGGUACUCAUGAUGAAGUGAGAGUAUAAUUAUAUAAAAAAAGAUUUAUUGAAGAAUAUACUGUAUGAAUUUCACAUGGUGAAUCUUCUGAAGAACAAUGGGUAUCUAAAGAAUCUUCAACUAACAGGAAUGAGAAUAUAUAUGUGGAAGAUGAUGUGAAUCUAUAUAGAAUAAUGGUAAUAGAUGCAGGUAAUGAUUAUGAAUGACCUAUGGAUAGAGUUGAUGAGAUUGGA
rnacentral:lncRNA from 1 species